UUGGAGGAAUUUAGGAGAAAACAUACUGCCUAGCGUUCUCUCCAAGGACAGAAAAACCUCUUCUCUUAGCUAUAAAGUCAACUGAGUCUUUGCAAAGAAUAUUUACCCAAGGGAACUGGCUUAUGAUGCAUCUAUUUAAAAAGAGCUGAGAAAGGGUGAGGGAGGGGAUUACAUUUUGAAUAUCAACAAAAUCCCUUCGAAAUUUUCCAUUCUUCUGCUUGUAGAUACAAGUGAGUUUGCAUGGAUACAUUAUCUAGAAUCCCACAGACUCCUGCUUCUAUACAAGACCUCUGCUCACACACCCUUUUGGAAGACUGUUCCCCUCCCCACACUUUCCUGAGUCCCCAGAGGAUGUUUCCUGUGUACUUAAUAAAAAACUCCACAACUUUCAGCGGCUGGCUGUUGUUAUUUCCUCAUCUUGAUGUUCACUUCAGCCUCCAAUAUUUGCCUCUUUUCCAUGAGGCCCAAGAAUCUGCCAGAUAGGCACUGCUUGUCUGGUAAAGCCCUCAGGUGCCGAAGGAGUGAGCAAUCAUGGCUGAAUGAAGGAAAAUGAGUGGGCAUUCUAACCAACUCUGAUGAUUGCACCCUUGACUUUCAUUACAAAGAGAGCACAUAACUUUCAGAUAGUUUAAUUGAUGAACAAAACUGUUGACACAGAAGAUUCAAGCACCCUUCCUCCGUAUUAGCAAUGGAAGAGAAUAAAUAUCGUCAUAUGUUAUAUGCACCAAACAUCUCUGGAAGGAUGCGCAAAUUCAGAUUCCAGAGGCCUCUAUCUUCAGAUUAAAACUAUUGUGCACCACCAGGAAUAGAAGGGCUCAACAUUUUUCUCAAUGAGAAAAGCAUCGUCAAUUGAAGAUUGUUAACUCUGAUAAUAACACCUAACCUUAUUAAAUUACUACCACGUUCUUACUUGCAGGUACUGUGAUUCACUUUUCUCAUGCGUCAUCUCAGGUCAGCGCUCACUUCCACUGCUACAAUCCUAAAAACAGGCCAUGGGCCAAGGGUAGCCCCGUACAUGUAGGACACCUUCAAAGCCUACUGCAUGUAAUCACAACUGCCAACUGGCUGUGCAAUUUAAUGGAACUUGAAUAUACAAAGGUAACUUCGGCGGUGAGGACCAAAGAGAGUUCUAUUUAUUACUUUAUAAUUGAGAACAGAGAAGUAAGCAAAGUUGUAUGGUGCUGAGGGAUCAGAAGGAGUGGAAAUAAGAAUGAAGCUCUGGGUGGUAUAUGGUGGCUAAAGGACUUUUCAUCACAAAGAUGCCUAUGGUUUAGUUUUAAUUUGUUCAUGUGUAUGUGAUGUUACAUUUGUACUCUGAUAUACUUCAGGAAAGUCUGCUACUCACACAAAAUGACCUUGUAUAGGUAGGUGUAUGUGUAUGUUUAUUUUUGUUAGUUAAUGGUAGGGGAGGGUUGCAAUUUUUUUGGAUAUGUGAAAAAUAUGGAAAAGAUCCAAGGGUCUUUGUGUCAGUCUCAGGGUCGACACAGUCUGAGAAGAACAACAUGAGCAAAAGAGCAAGUCAAUUCAUAAAAUGAGAGCCAACUGUUGGAAGCAGGUGUCCAAAGCCAGAGGUGGCCAUGAGAACACAAGUCCCUCUGGAGCUCAUGGCAAUCUGGGAAAGGGCUAUGGUCUUCCACAUUCCAGGGAAUGGGGCUCAAAUCAAUCCUCCUUACACCUAAAGAGUUAGGGAGAACUCCAAACACCCACAAUACAUAAGUAUUUGCUUUGAACAAAACAUUUUCCCCACAGUUAUUACAGAAACCUCAAUCAAAAGAUUUGUCUAUCCAUUGCCUGUUAGAAGGCUGCAGGAAUAUAAGACUAUGCAUUGUUUAAAUCUCUUAAAAACAAGAUUUGUCUUCCCUAUAAGAACUUCAU